AGAUUACUUCGGUUUGAAAUGCUGAGUGGCGGACGGGUGAGUAACGCGUGGGUACCUGCCUCAUACAGGGGGAUAGCAGCUGGAAACGGCUGGUAAUACCGCAUAAGAUCGCAUGAUAAAAACUCCGGUGGUAUGAGAUGGACCCGCGUCUGAUUAGCUGGUUGGUGAGGUAACGGCCCACCAAGGCGACGAUCAGUAGCCGACCUGAGAGGGUGACCGGCCACAUUGGGACUGAGACACGGCCCAGACUCCUACGGGAGGCAGCAGUGGGGAAUAUUGCACAAUGGAGGAAACUCUGAUGCAGCGACGCCGCGUGAGUGAAGAAGUAGUUCGCUAUGUAAAGCUCUAUCAGCAGGGAAGAUAGUGACGGUACCUGACUAAGAAGCUCCGGCUAAAUACGUGCCAGCAGCCGCGGUAAUACGUAUGGAGCAAGCGUUAUCCGGAUUUACUGGGUGUAAAGGGAGUGUAGGUGGCCAGGCAAGUCAGAAGUGAAAGCCCGGGGCUCAACCCCGGGACUGCUUUUGAAACUGCAGGGCUAGAGUGCAGGAGGGGCAAGUGGAAUUCCUAGUGUAGCGGUGAAAUGCGUAGAUAUUAGGAGGAACACCAGUGGCGAAGGCGGCUUGCUGGACUGUAA
rnacentral:rRNA from 1 species